rnacentral:lncRNA from 13 species
AUUGCUGACCUCCUGUUAGGAUAAAUGUAUGCAUGUUUUGCUUUGAAUGUCACAGCUGGCUUUCUGCCUUUUAGGUAGAUGCAAUUUUGCUAUCUCCAAGUAUGUUGUAAGCAAAGGAGCAAAACGAAAAAAAAAAGUGAAAGAGAGAUAAAGAAGGAACCAAAUGCCAUCAAGAGAUGUUUUGCCAUUGAGUACAUGUGGACACAAAGAAGGGAACACCAGACAUGGAGCCUACUUGAAGGUGGAGGGAGGGAGGAGGGUUCUCUCUUCUCCUAGGGGCACUACCAAUACCUCCAACUAUGACUGCCCAAAUGAAAGGAAUUUAAAUAACUCAGCCCACCUGGAAUAGAAUCAGAAGGCAAGCCAAGAAGAAAAACAGAAGUCAUGUUUACAAGGGCCUCUCAAGCAAAUAAGUGGGUGGGGAGUGAGACGGGAAAGAGUUAAGAGAGAGGCUGCAGUGGGAAUGUGAUUUUGAAAGAGAAAAUUGUAACCAGUUAUGACGAGCUUUUUUUCAUGUAUUUGUUGGCUGCAUAAAUGUCUUAUUUUGAGAAGUGUAUGUUCAUAUUGUUUGCCCACUUUUUGAUGGGGUUGUUUCAAAACCACAUUGAGAUACCAUCUCACACCAGUUAGAAUGACAAUCAUUAAAAAGUCAGGAAACAACAGGUGUUAGACAGGAUGUGGAGAAAUAGGAGCACUUUAACACUGUGGUUGGGAGUGUAAAUUAGUUCAACCAUUGUUGAAGACAAUGUGGCGAUUCCUCAAGGAUUUAGAAAUAAAAAUACCAUUUGCCCCA